rnacentral:lncRNA from 9 species
AUAUUAUGUGCAUACGUAUAUGUAUAUCUUGUAUACAUGUAUAUACAGUAAUUUAGAUAUACAACACGUGUAUAUACAAUGCAUAUAUCUGUAUAAACACACGAAUUCUUUAUCAACCUUUAUCAAUUCUCACAGAGAUCAGCCAUCGCCAUUGUUCUCGUCUCUGAAAAUUGUUCUGUCAAUGAAAUGAUCUACCAUGAAGGACAUCUGUGGAAACACAGUCUGUGACGAGAGCCCAUGAAUAAUUUCCACGUGCUCCUGCCAGUCUUUUAAGCUGCGCGUCCUUGAGUCACAGAGACAUGGCUGGGCAGCUGAAAGUGUCACCGAGUAUUCCGUGGACACCACAGUUCACUCAAGUGUUAACUGCUCACAAGGAUACACAGCCAGCCUCCCCCAAACAUGAGGCGAUCCAACUGUGUUCUUCCCAUGAGAAGCCAAAGGCAUCUCUCCCCAAGCACAAAGUAGUAAAGAGCCCUGGAUGCCUGGUUCCUAUUCCUGGGAGCGUAUGCAAUUACUCUGUCACCCUGGGAGUUCCACUCUUCUAACCACACCAUGGACUCCGAAGAAAAAGGAAAAGUGCUAGAGUUGCUUUUAUAAGAGACCAAAAAGAUACAGUUGUGCCUCCACAACCCCUCUCCCAGAAUGCAGCCUCUCCUAAUGUGAGGCAGCCCCUGGGUCCCAAAAUGUGGGUGGGUGACUCAAGUGUGACCUGGCAUAAACAUUGACCCCACUAGAGUGACCACACAGUAGCCUCCUGAUCUCUACUGUGAAACAAAAUAUAGCGAUGAAUGCAAAAGUAUAAUGCUUGACAGGUAACUAAGAGUUUUGUUGUUAUUUUUUAACCUCAAAAAUCUAGUGAAGUAGGCAAAAGAGACACUAUUUUCUGGUUUUCAUUUUACUUCUGAGGAAGCUGAGAACUAAAGAGAUUAAGUGACGUAGCCAGGGUUAUAUUUAGUCUGCAGUGAACAAAAUUAAGUCUUCUGCCUCUUAAUUCUGCUCUUUUUCCAAGACACCACACAAGUUCCCCCAACUGAGCACACUCACAAAGGACAUGUAAUCUGCUCCCCAGGUGAACAGUAAUAGCAAUUUAAUCUUCUAAGCAAUCAACCCAGGCUUUUCACUUACCAGUGACAUUGCAAGUGGAAACUAUAGAACCUGAAACUCUACCUUUCACAUUUCUGUAUCGAUCCUCUUUGAUGGUUAGUGAUAUGAGGGGAUACAUCCUACAGCUAGUGUUUCACAACCAAGCCCUUCAAGGCAGAGUAACCCACAACACAGAAAGUGCUAAGUUCCCUUCUUGGCUCUGAAGGGUCAUUAAUCUUGACCUUUCUUUUCUGUCCAGCUGCUUAAAAGAAUGGGCUUUCGCUGUAAUAAUUACCAUCGUGAUUAUUUCAUCGGUUUAUUAAGAAUCUCCUAAGUUCCAAUGUGGUCUGGAAUAUUUACCGAGAUAAUUUUCUUAUAGGUACUAAGUGAUUAGUGUCAUAAAUUGCCAUCUGCUAAACACUAAUAUCUCAGAAGUUGUAAUUCCCUGUCAGGUUCACUAUUGUAGCAACAUAAAUCAUCAAGCUGUGACCUUUUAGAAAGUUAAAAAUAUAACAUAUAUAUGAUUAAUCCUGCUUUAAUUACUUUCUUUUGACUUUUGUGGUUUCUCAGGGAUGCAAUUUGCAGAGUUUACGUAAAUGUUUUUAUUUCAUGUGAUAAAUUAAGACACGAAUCUUUUGUAAAAGGGAGAAAGGAGAGUAAUUUGAUUCUUUACAGAAAUGGCAAUGUAGUGGAGACAGCUUGAAAAGUUUUAUCUUUAUCUACUAAAAAUUCUAGGCUGAACGAGUAAAAUUACCUCCUCUCUCUAAACGCUUUUAUCCUAG